AUUGAACGCUGGCGGCAGGCUUUACACAUGCAAGUCGAGCGGGGUGAUGGUGCUUGCACUAUCACUUAGCGGCGGACGGGUGAGUAAUGCUUAGGAAUCUGCCUAUUAGUGGGGGACAACAUCUCGAAAGGGAUGCUAAUACCGCAUACGUCCUACGGGGGAAAGCAGGGGAUCACUUGUGACCUUGCGCUAAUAGAUGAGCCUAAGUCGGAUUAGCUAGUUGGUGGGGUAAAGGCCUACCAAGGCGACGAUCUGUAGCGGGUCUGAGAGGAUGAUCCGCCACACUGGGACUGAGACACGGCCCAGACUCCUACGGGAGGUGGCAGUGGGGAAUAUUGGACAAUGGGGGGAACCCUGAUCCAGCCAUGCCGCGUGUGUGAAGAAGGCCUUAUGGUUGUAAAGCACUUUAAGCGAGGAGGAGGCUCUUUUGGUUAAUACCCAGAAUGAGUGGACGUUACUCGCAGAAUAAGCACCGGCUAACUCUGUGGCAGCCGCCGCCGUAA
rnacentral:rRNA from 1 species